rnacentral:rRNA from 1 species
UACAGAGGUCCCGAGCGUUGUUCGGAUUCACUGGGCGUAAAGGGUGCGUAGGCGGUCGGGUAAGUCUGAUGUGAAAUCUCACAGCUUAACUGUGAAACUGCAUUGGAUACUAUUCGGCUUGAGGUCUGGAGGGGGGACUGGAAUUCUCGGUGUAGCAGUGUAAUGCGUAGAUAUCAAGUGGAACACCAGUGGCGAAGGCGAGUCUCUGGACAUUUCCUGACGCUGAGGCACGAAAGCCGGGGGAGCAAACGGG